rnacentral:rRNA from 1 species
GAAAAAGAUAUUAAGGGCCAUAGGUGGAUGCCUUGGCUGGUAGAGGCGAUGAAGGACGUACUAGGCUGCGAUAAGCCUCGGGGAGCCGCCAAGAGGCUUUGAUCCGGGGA